CUGGCGACCGGCGCACGGGUGAGUAACACGUAUCCAACCUGCCGAUAACUCGGGGAUAGCCUUUCGAAAGAAAGAUUAAUACCCGAUGGCAUAAUUAGACCGCAUGGUUUGAUUAUUAAAGAAUUUCGGUUAUCGAUGGGGAUGCGUUCCAUUAGGCAGUUGGUGAGGUAACGGCUCACCAAACCUUUGAUGGAUAGGGGUUCUGAGAGGAAGGUCCCCCACAUUGGAACUGAGACACGGUCCAA
rnacentral:rRNA from 1 species